ACCCGCUGAACUUAAGCAUAUCAAUAAGCGGAGGAAAAGAAACCAACAGGGAUUGCCCUAGUAACGGCGAGUGAAGCGGCAACAGCUCAAAUUUGAAAUCUGGCUCUUUUAGAGUCCGAGUUGUAAUUUGCAGAGGGCGCUUUGGCUUUGGCAGCGGUCCAAGUUCCUUGGAACAGGACGUCACAGAGGGUGAGAAUCCCGUACGUGGUCGCUGGCUAUUGCCGUGUAAAGCCCCUUCGACGAGUCGAGUUGUUUGGGAAUGCAGCUCUAAAUGGGAGGUACAUUUCUUCUAAAGCUAAAUAUUGGCCAGAGACCGAUAGCGCACAAGUAGAGUGAUCGAAAGAUGAAAAGCACUUUGGAAAGAGAGUCAAACAGCACGUGAAAUUGUUGAAAGGGAAGCGCUUGCAGCCAGACUUGCUUACAGUUGCUCAUCCGGGCUUUUGCCCGGUGCACUCUUCUGUAGGCAGGCCAGCAUCAGUUUGGGCGGUAGGAUAAAGGUCUCUGUCACGUACCUCUCUUCGGGGAGGCCUUAUAGGGGGGACGACAUACUACCAGCCUGGACUGAGGUCCGCGCAUCUGCUAGGAUGCUGGCGUAAUGGCUGU
rnacentral:rRNA from 1 species